rnacentral:rRNA from 1 species
UACAGAGGGGGCAAGCGUUGUUCGGAAUUACUGGGCGUAAAGGGCGCGUAGGCGGCCUGUUAAGUCGAACGUGAAAUCCCUGGGCUCAACCCAGGAACUGCGUCCGAUACUGGCAGGCUUGAAUCCGGGAGAGGGAUGUGGAAUUCCAGGUGUAGCGGUGAAAUGCGUAGAUAUCUGGAGGAACACCGGUGGCGAAGGCGACAUCCUGGACCGGUAUUGACGCUGAGGCGCGAAAGCCAGGGGAGCAAACGGG